rnacentral:rRNA from 1 species
GGGGGAUGUCGGAUUUACUGGGCGUAAGGGUGCGUAGGUGGAUAUUUAAGUCAGAUGUGAAAUCCCUGAGCUCAACUCAGGGCCUGCAUUUGAAACUGGAUGUCUGGAGUGCGGGAGAGGUAAGUGGAAUUCCUAGUGUAGCGGUGAAAUGCGUAGAGAUUAGGAAGAACACCAGUGGCGAAGGCGACUUACUGGACCGUAACUGACACUGAGGCACGAAAGCGUGGGUAGCAAACAGGAUUAGAUACCCUGGUAGUCCACGCCGUAAACGAUGAGUACUAGGUGUAGGGGGUAUCGACUCCCCCUGUGCCGCAGUUAACACAAUAAGUACUCCGCCUGGGAAGUACGAUCGCAAGAUUAAAACUCAAAGGAAUUGACGGGGGCCCGCACAAGCAGCGGAGCAUGUGGUUUAAUUCGAAGCAACGCGAAGAACCUUACCUAGACUUGACAUACCCUGAAUUACUCGUAACUGAGGAAGCUUUUCGGAGCAGGGAUACAGGUGGUGCAUGGUUGUCGUCAGCUCGUGUCGUGAGAUGUUAGGUUAAGUCCUGCAACGAGCGCAACCCUUAUCAUUAGUUGCUACCAUUCAGUUGAGCACUCUAGUGAGACUGCCCGGGUUAACCGGGAGGAAGGUGGGGAUGACGUCAAAUCAUCAUGCCCCUUAUGUCUAGGGCUACACACGUGCUACAAUGGUGAGUACAAAGAGAUGCAAUCCCGCGAGGGGGAGCCAAACUUAUAAAACUCAUCUCAGUUCGGAUUGUAGGCUGAAACUCGCCUACAUGAAGCUGGAGUUGCUAGUAAUCGCGAAUCAGCAUGUCGCGGUGAAUACGUUCCCGGGCCUUGUACACACCGCCCGUCACACCAUGAGAGCUGGCAACACCCGAAGUCCGUAGUCUAACCGUAAGGAGGACGCGGCCGAAGGUGGGGUUAGUGAUUGGGGGUGAAGUCGUAACAAGGUAAC